CGUCUAUAUACGUAUAGCAUAUCAAUAAGCGGAGGAAAAGAAACUAACUAGGAUUCCCUCAGUAACGGCGAGUGAAGCGGGAAGAGCUCAAAUUUGAAAUCUUCAAGGUUCUACCUUGACGAAUUGUAGUUUAGAGAAGUGUUUUCUGUUGGAGUUUUGGUAAAAGUUCUUUGGAAUAGGACAUCAUAGAGGGUGAGAAUCCCGUAUUUGACCAUUAUUUCCAACUUUGUGAUACACUUUCAAAGAGUCGGAUUGUUUGGGAAUGCAGUCCAAAAUGGGUGGUAAAUUUCAUCUAAAGCUAAAUACUGGCGAGAGACCGAUAGCGAACAAGUACCGUGAGGGAAAGAUGAAAAGAACUUUGAAAAGAGAGUUAAACAGUACGUGAAAUUGUCAAAAGGGAAGCGUUUGACACCAGUGUUGUUUUCUCGAAAAUCAAUUAAAAAUGGCGGGAUGUUGUGUUGUAUUGACUUUAUCAGCUUUCUGCACUUUUUUCUUGUCUUUUUUAAUGCACUUUUCGUUUAACAAGUCAACAUCAAUUUCUUUUGCUGUAAAAGAGUCAUUGGAAGGUGGCUUUCUUUUCGGAGAAAGUGUUUAUAGCCUUUGACUUCUGCAAUCGGAGAGAUUGAGGUCUGCAGCGUAGAUCCUUCGGGGUUAGAUACAUUUGUGCUAAGCUAUAGCCUUUCAUAGACAACUUGUUGACUAUGAUCAGUCAUGUAGCUUACUCGCUUAUGUUAUUUUACCUACGCUUAGGAUGUUGACGAUCAGCUGAGCGCG
rnacentral:rRNA from 1 species